rnacentral:rRNA from 1 species
AGUGAACGCUGGCGGUAGGCCUAACACAUGCAAGUCGAACGGCAGCACAGUAAGAGCUUGCUCUUACGGGUGGCGAGUGGCGGACGGGUGAGGAAUACAUCGGAAUCUACUUUUUCGUGGGGGAUAACGUAGGGAAACUUACGCUAAUACCGCAUACGACCUACGGGUGAAAGCAGGGGAUCUUCGGACCUUGCGCGAUUGAAUGAGCCGAUGUCGGAUUAGCUAGUUGGCGGGGUAAAGGCCCACCAAGGCGACGAUCCGUAGCUGGUCUGAGAGGAUGAUCAGCCACACUGGAACUGAGACACGGUCCAGACCCCUACGGGAGGCAGCAGUGGGGAAUAUUGGACAAUGGGCGCAAGCCUGAUCCAGCCAUACCGCGUGGGUGAAGAAGGCCUUCGGGUUGUAAAGCCCUUUUGUUGGGAAAGAAAAGCAGCAGGUUAAUACCCCGCUGUUCUGACGGUACCCAAAGAAUAAGCACCGGCUAACUUUGUG